CUCUUAUCGAGAGCGGUGGAGGGACAGGCCCUGUGAAACCCGGCAACCAAGCCUAGCUAUGGUGCUAAAUCCUGCAAGAACAUUCUUGAUAGAUGAGAG
rfam:Phascolarctobacterium sp. CAG:207 genomic scaffold, scf5